rnacentral:lncRNA from 1 species
ACGACGCCAACGUCAUACCAAUAUACAACCAAAAAAUUUCAAUUUUUGCGGUCUGUAAAAACCAGACUAUCAGAGCAAAUUUUUUUAACAAUUAUUUGUACAAAAUGUACUUAAGUCAUUGCUUUUACACCCUAGUAAAUUUAUAACCAGAUGCUCCGCAGGGCACAGCUUUAUACGACCGCUGAACGGUUGGGGCAAAUAUGGACACAACAUUCAAGCUGGAUUCAGCUCUAAAUUUGGAUUGUGAUUAAAUAGUUGACACAGCAUAGGUUUCUGACACAGAAUGAAUGUGGUCUAAUGCACUUAACAUUUUUGUUUUGCCUUUGAGCAAUUCACUAUGCUGUUGAAUAUUAAUCCUCUCAAAAAUAUGUUUGAAGAAAUUAUCUUUUUAUUUAUGAAAUCUGAAAUGAGAAAAAUUGACCCUCCCCCCCCCCCCCCAUUUUUUUUCCACAUCCCCCUUUCCCUUUUUCCAAAACUGAUCUCAAUUCAAAUUUCUAAUGGAGUUUGCAACAAUAACUACUCAUUUA